rnacentral:tRNA from 1 species
GGCAAGAUGGCCGAGUGGUUAAGGCGGUAGCCUGCUAUACGCACGACUAGUGAUAGUCGGUAAGCUAUUGGGUUCUGCCCGCGUGAGUUCGAUUCUCACUCUUGUCG